GCCUUUGAGUUCAGUCGGUAGAGCAUGAGACUCUUAAUCUCAGGGUCAUGGGUUUGAGCCCCAUGUUGGGGGCU